GACAGAGGUGCCGAGCGUUAGGCGGAAUCACUGGGCUUAAAGCGUGUGUAGGCGGGCGGGCAAGUACCUUGUGAAAUCCCACGGCUCAACCGUGGAACGGCUGGGUAUACUGCCUGUCUUGAGCCAACUAGGGGCGAGCGGAACAGACGGUGGAGCGGUGAAAUGCGUAGAUAUCGUCUGGAACGCCGAAGGUGAAAACAGCUCGCUGGGUUGUGCUGACGCUGGAGACACGAAAGCCAGGGGAGCGAACGGG
rnacentral:rRNA from 1 species